UAGCAGCACAGAAAUAUUGGCACCGGGAGGCGAGUCUGCCAAUAUUGGCUGUGCUGCUCCAGGC
ensembl:miRNA ocu-mir-195 ocu-mir-195